CAUUCACUGUGCACCACUGGGACGCCAUUCACUGUACGUCACCGUGACGCCAUUCACUAUACGUCACAUGCAUGAUUUCCGGAAAUUAACCUCACCGCAGGGAGUCGUAAACAUUCUAGUAAUGCCAUUCACUGUACAUCACAAGCUUACUAAAAUAAAUAGAUAAGAGACUCUUGUGUAACGUCAUUCACUGUGCGUUACGAGUCUAAUACUCAAAAAUACAAAAGACAUUUAGUAACGCCAUUCACUGUACGCACAUGUCUGCCAAUGAAUGCAUGAACAUAUAACUUCACAUCAUAUGCUAAUGCAACCCUACAAACCAUCCAAAAAUGAAUACAUUUCACAUGCAUUUCAAACAAAUUCAAACAUCAAAUAUUUCAUGGCUUUUGACAUAAUUUAAAGUCAUGGAUAGAAGAUGCCCUUACCUCGGCAAAAGCUUCCAAUCACACAAUCGAACGCGCAAUUAAACACCGUUACUCGUUUCCUAAAAUAAUACACAUAAUACCAUAAGUCACUCUCCGACAAAACCAGAGGAACGAACCUAUUCUACACAAUCGAAAGGGGUUCUA
rnacentral:lncRNA from 1 species